CCUACGGGGGGCAGCAGUAGGGAAUAUUGCUCAAUGGGGGAAACCCUGAAGCAGCAACGCCGCGUGGAGGAUGAAGGUUUUCUGAUUGUAAACUCCUUUUGUUAGAGAAGAUAAUGACGGUAUCUAACGAAUAAGCACCGGCUAACUCCGUGCCAGCAGCCGCGGUAAUACGGCGGGUGCAAGCGUUAAUCGGAAUCACUGGGCGUAAAGGGCGCGUAGGCGGGAUAGUAAGUCAGAUGUGAAAUCUUAUGGCUUAACCAUAGAACUGCAUUUGAAACUGUUAUUCUAGAGUAUGGGAGAGGUAGGUGGAAUGCUUGGUGUAGGGGUAAAAUCCAUAGAGAUCAAGAAGAAUACUCAUUGCGAAGGCGGCCUGCUAGAACAUAACUGACGCUGAUGCGCGAAAGCGUGGGGAGCAAACAGGAUUAGAUACCCUGGUAGUC
rnacentral:rRNA from 1 species